rnacentral:ncRNA from 1 species
UUGAGCCGUAUGUGUGGAAACAUACAAUUACGGUUCUUAGGGGGGGAAGGAGCCGAAAGGCUCCCUACCUACCCGAC